UNUGGCUUGUAACUGACGCUGAGGCUCGAAAGCGUAGGGAGCAAACAGGAUUAGAUACCCUGGUAGUNCACGCCGUAAACGAUGAGUGCUAGGUGUUAGACCCUUUCCGGGGUUUAGUGCNGUAGCUAACGCAUUAAGCACUCCGCNUGGGGAGUACGACCGCAAGGUUGAAACUCAAAGGAAUUGACGGGGGCCCGCACAAGCGGUGGAGCAUGUGGUUUAAUUCGAAGCAACGCGAAGAACCUUACCAGGUCUUGACAUCCCUCUGACCGCUCUAGAGAUAGAGCUUUCCUUCGGGACAGAGGUGACAGGUGGUGCAUGGUUGUCGUCAGCUCGUGUCGUGAGAUGUUGGGUUANNNNNNNNNNNCGAGCGCAACCCCUAUUGUUAGUUGCCAUCAUUCAGUUGGGCACUCUAGCGAGACUGCCGGUAAUAAACCGGAGGAAGGUGGGGAUGACGUCAAAUCAUCAUGCCCCUUAUGACCUGGGCUACACACGUGCUACAAUGGCUGGUACAACGAGUCGCAAGCCGGUGACGGCAAGCUAAUCUCUUAAAGCCAGUCUCAGUUCGGAUUGUAGGCUGCAACUCGCCUUCAUGAAGUCGGAAUCGCUAGUAAUCGCGGAUCAGCACGCCGCGGUGAAUACGUUCCCGGGCCU
rnacentral:rRNA from 1 species